rnacentral:rRNA from 1 species
CGGACGGGUGAGUAACGCGUGGGGAACCUGCCCUGUACCGGGGGAUAGCAGCCGGAAACGGCUGAUAAUACCGCAUAAGCGCACGAAUGUCGCAUGACAUGGUGUGGAAAACUCCGGUGGUAUAGGAUGGACCCGCGUCUGAUUAGCCAGUUGGUGGGGUAAAAGCCUACCAAAGCGAAGAUCAGUAGCCGAGUUGAGAGACUGACCGGCCACAUUGGGACUGAGACACGGCCCAGACUCCUACGGGAGGCAGCAGUC